GGAAUGGGUUCUAUGGAGUAGGCCAUGCGUUUGAGUGUAGGCCAAGUGCAGGUAGCUCCUGUUCACUAUAUCUGUCCUAAACCCUAGUUUUGCCUUAGCAGAGAGAAGGUGUUACUGUUCUACAGUGAUCAUGUACUCCAUUCCUGUAACGUUCUGUAGAAUCUGCAAGGGCAGAAUGCAAGUAUGUGCAGUGUUGGCAUAUUGGGACACUGAUUAAAGAGGGUCUAGUUAAGGUUGUGUUGUGGGGGGUGGCACGUAGUUCUAUAUUUCCUGGCUUUCAGAAGGUUAAAAUUGCAUUACCGUAGCUCUUCAUUUCCUAGAUUUCAGGGAUUUAAGUGUAGCUGAACUUGAUGUUCUGAGAUAGGGUGACCAGACAGAAAGCAUGAAAAAUCGGGACAGGGUGGGGAGAUAAUUGGAGCCUACAUAAGAAAAAGACCGAAAAAUCGGGACUUGUCCCUAUAAAAUUGGGACAUCUGGUCACCCUAUCCUGAGAUGAAGCAUCACUGGACAAUCUUAACUCUGUCUUAACAAAGUUUUUGGGCCAUUAAUUUCCUUUAAAAAAAUUCUAAGAACCCCAUGUUCCACAGGCAGCUCUCCAUCUCUACUGCCUCUGGCUCCUUGACAACUAUUACCCUGGCCACAGAAGGUACUGAACUGAUGUUGGUCCCUUCACUGCCCCACAAUCAUCUCUCUGCCUGUCCAGCACAGCCUGGUCCUCCCUUCCCAGUCUUCCUACCCACAGAGGAAUGGGCAUCAGUGGGGGCCUAUUAGAUUGAGAAUCUGGGUACAAGAUGCAGGAAUAAUACAGGCACUGACACAGUCAGUAAAGGCAUAUUUUGAUGGGGGGACAAAAAUGAGGGGCAUGGGUAGGUUUUGGGGGUGCUGAAGCCUCCCUACUUCCCCCAGUGCACAUCUCUGACCCUCUCCUUUCCUCCCCAUAUUCUUCUGCACUUCUCUGACUUUCCCUUUCCCCCUAGAAGCAGCAAUAUCCAGCAUCCUGGAGGCAACACAGGGAAGGACAAAGUCCUGGGUUCCUUCCCCGAUCAGGUUUCAUUGGAAGGAAGGGGAACCACUGAGCCCCUUCCUUUGGCCUGGUGGAGAAGCCAGGGGGAGGAACUUUGAGGUGAUGGGUGUAUCUGUAAGGGGCCUAGGGCAAGGCAGAGCUCGCUCUAUUUCCUUUCCCCUCCUUAUGGUACUGUUCUGUCACCACUUAUGAGCUCUCAUGGAGCAAAGAUCCUUUCGUGGAUGAUCCCUUUGAGGAUGAUCAUAGAGUGAUUGUAGAAAAACUAUACUUCUUGGGAACUUAGUUCUUCAUCAAAGCUCUAAUAAUCAAACUAGGUUUUCAGAAACAUAAUGCUUGUGCAAUCCCUUGCAUUAAUAAAAGUCAUUGUCUAAGUGUGUGCUGGCUUCUCAGUAGCUGUGCCAGGUUGGCAAAGGGGCAGAGCUGCAGUCCCAACUCCAACAUUGCCUGCCCUGCUCCAACAUAUACCCCUAUUUCUCCCUCACCUUUCCAAUUCCUCCUUGUUCCUAUGAAACAAAAAAGUUAUGAAAAUCUGAAAAUGUUAUGAGCAGCUCAUGUUAAUGGGUUGUCUAUCACUAACCCCCAUGACCAAAGGACCCAACAACUUACUUGCUUUCCUUUGAUCACAUUCAGUCCUAUUGUUCAGGAAAUGAUUGAGGAUCAUGAGUCAUAAUUGCAUUACCUUUACUAGAAUCUUUCAUCUGACCUCUCUUUAAUACUAAUUUCCUUGGUAAUACUUCUAAAGUAAAAUCAGAGUGCAUGUGGAUUUUAGAGCACUUUAAAAUAUUGGCUCUUAAACCAGGGCAAAACUUUCCAAAAGGAGCCCCUACAGAAUGCAGGCAGAGAACUCAAAUGUAUAAUACACAUGCUCUGAAAACUGCCAAGGGUACAGCUCUAAUUCACUGUUCAUAGGCAUUGCUCAGGUUCAGUGGCCAUAGCAUGUCACCUUGAGCCAUCCAGUCACUGUGAUAAGACUGCCUGAGAGCUUUCUGGCAUGAACAGAACCCUAGUCUUGCUGCACAUGUGCAUUUCACUCUUUGGCUUGUCAGUUAGACUCGACCCAGAGUGAAGUUCUAAACUUUACCCUGAAUAGCUUUGGAAAUAUUGCAUUCCCCAAAGAGGCAGUGGGUAGCAUGCAAUAGUUGAGAUAAAUUCAGAGCAGGUAAAAUCAGUGUGGAGAAGAUUAGAGCCAUUGUUCAAAACCCAGGUAUGCACAAAAACUAUUAGAAGAACCCAGUGAUUUUGUAAACGUGAUUUUUAGGGGGACUGUAUUUCAGGAACCCUUUGUUCAAAUGACCCCAAAUUUGAAUCCUUCCCCCAGCCCCAUGUAACACAGCAACUUUCAAGACAAUGCAAGCCACUAUGUGGAUUUUAGAGUGACUCUAAAUCUUAACUAUGCAAAGUUGCCGCUUUGCUAUAAUGUGCAACAUCUAAAUUGCCAUUAACACCAUGACCCCAAAUCAAAAACAGAAAGUAUCUUAGUGCAAAAAAAAAUAAAUAAAUCAGAAGUACUUUCAUGAAUGACCACCAUGUGAGAAGCAUAAAAUGAUAAAAGACCUUCACAUAUUGCUGAGGCCAUAUUUAUUAUGUUCUCAGGAUGACAUAUAGUAAUGAAGGCAUAUAUCAAGAAUAUGAGAGGCCCUCUUUGAAAGGUAUCUGGAUGUCUCACAUGUAUCAAAUGAUCAAAGCAGAUCUGGGUAUUAUGGACAGUUCCAGUGUAUCAGUUCUUAGUGAGAAACCUGCAUCUAGAGCAGGACAAUAAAAGGUCAUUUUGUUUUGCAGGAGAUUUUGAUUUUUAAAAAUUGAUUUACUUUGGAUUUGGAAUGAAAACCAAAAAUUUCAAAAUUCUCUGUGGAAAGGAACGGAGCCAUGGCUAGCCUGAAGCCAGGGACCCUGAAAGUUCUGGGAGCCUGCACUGCCCACGAGCCAGGCACGCAAGAUGGCAGGAAAAUAGGCAGGUUUCAUGACCUGCUUGGAUCCCAUCAGAACUUCAUCAAAAUUGAACCAUGUCUGUUUGGUUUUCAACGAGUUUGUGAAUGCCGACGAAUGUCGAUGGUCUGUGAUGACUUUUGACCAGUCUAUCGACAACAUUAAAGAUCGAUGAUGGAAAUGCAUCCAUAUUCUUUGUUGGACCCUUCUAUGGCAUUUGACAGUAUUGAUCACCAGCUAGUCUUGGCCAUCAUGAAGAGGUUACUGGAGUGAACAGAAAUGUCCUGAAAUGGCUUUGGUCCUUCUUCCCUGUCAGUGGGUUGGAACUGGCUGCUGUUUCUCUGCCUGGAGUCCUCUAAGGCUCAAUCCUCUCCUCCUCCAUUUUAGUCAACAUCUGUAUGAAGCUAUUGAGAGAGCUGGUGAAACACCACAAGGUGAUGUGAUAGCAGCACACAAAUAACACACAGUUCUACAACUUGUGUCAAGUAUAUGUAGCACCAUCUCCCAGCUUUCUCAGUGCCUGGCUGAAAUCAACACUUGGAUGAAGAACAGUUGCCCAAAGCUGAAUCCAAGCAAGACUGAGGUGAUGUUGAUAGGAAGAGGCUGAAGUGCUGAAUUCAGGCCUUUCACAGGAGCUAGGCCUGGAUUAUGGGACUCACUUCCCCAAGAGAUAAGAAUGACUGUGGAACUAACUACUUCAGAAUGAGAUGUAAAACUCACUUCUGCAACUCAGCUUCCCCUCAAUAAUUUCUUCACACAUGACACAUCCAUUCAUUCACACACGCAUAGCCACAAGCCUAAACAAGCAAAUAAAAAGCCUAUAGUCUUUCUCCUUGGAAGAAA